UUAAAGUGCUAUCUCGCUGAAAUACCAUACCGAAGACACCCAGCUCAGCAUUCCGCCCGAUCACAUUAUAUUAACAGCGGGUGAACUAGUUGUUGCAAUUACCCUUAAUGCUGAACGUUCAGCAGGGAAUAAUAACUACCAUUGUAAGGGCUUUGAUAUGUCCAGGCCUGGGGACAGUACCCAUCGCCUUCCUCACCUGGGCUAACGCUCAACAUUGAAGCCAAACGUGAGGUAUUGACACGCAAGGCACUAGGAAAUAUAAGGUAGUUAGAAGUAGAGAGAAAUAUUAAUAUCCCAACUAUUGCAGCAGCAUAUUUAUAUUGGUCGCUUUUUUGUCCUCAAAUACAGGACACAAAAGCAAGUCCUCAAUUCUGCAGGGGUUUAACAUUAGUCGCCUCUUACGAUACUUUUUUCUCUAUCCCAGACCCUGCAGGGGUGCGGCCAGUAAUAGAUCACUAGGCUUUUUAUAUGUCAGAAGUUAAUUCAUGUUUACAAUAUUGGUGCAUUAUAAUUUUUAUGAAGAAAUUCUGUAUAUACAAACUUUUUUUCAGUUUGCGAUAAAUGUUGAAACACUUUGAUUUCUAGGAUAUUUUUUAUUAGUUUCAUGAUCACAUUGCUUACAACCAUGAAGUUUAGUAUGCAGUGUAUAGUGCGAGUGAUUAUCACAGAGUAAAACUGAGAAUAUCUGUCUGUGAUUGUUGUAUCUGGCACAUUCAAAGUAAUUGUGGAUUGUUUCUUGCAUUUAAAUGCAGCAGAUUUAAUAGAUGGUUAUUAUAGGGAUCAAAAUUUUAGUUGCUAGCAUUCUUUCUAAUUUAACAUAGUAUAAUAGCGAUUUUUCUUUUCCCACUGAAAAGUAUCAUUAAAUUUCUAGUUUUAUUAAUUAGUUGCUUAAAUUUGGAAUAAGAUUGAGAAUUUAUUUUAUUUUGAAGUUGAAAUGUUGAGGAAAAGUACCUUUAAAGUAGCUCUCAGUUCUACAUAUUAGGGGAUUAAGAACUCUACUUAAUCUUAGAUAAUAUUUCACAUUUGUUAAAUCAUUUAAAACAGGAUCAACAGUAUUAUGAAGGUACUUUUGUGAUGUUUUUUGCAAUAGUUUAUGCAUUAAAAUUGGUUCAUUUUUCCCUCCUUCAUGUAUCAGCUAAGGUUCCCCAUUCAAAUUCUUCUUAUAAUUUAUGGUGUGAUGUAUCUCUACGAAGCUCUGUCACGACUCUAGAAAUGUUUGAUUUCGCUCAGCAAUCAUCCCAAACUACAUUUUCAUAUUCUGAAAUCGGUCUAAUAUAAGAUAUAUUGUUUUAAGUGUACUGCUGUCAAGUGAGAUUUUAAGUCUUCUUGAUAAUUUUUUUUUUCAAAUGCAAUUUUGGAUAUAUUGACCAAAUUUACCAUCUUCGUUAAAAAUAAGAACUUCAUGUUUAUGGUAAGUACUGUCAUGUAGUGGUUUAUUAGAGAGGACCAUUGGAGAGUGGUUAGUUUCAUUUUCCGUGUGAAGAUCAUAGUUGUGGUUUUUGGAUGCAUGAAAUUUGAUAUCCCAAGAUUUUGUUCAUUUUUCAAACUUUUUUUCCUCAAAUUUGUUUUAUUUCCAUAGCAAUUUAAAAUGGCGUCCUAGCAACCAAACCGGAGGUGACAUUAUCACAGCUUCUAGUCUAGAUACAGAUAUGCAGUAAAGUGUUUUGAAAAGUUACUAUCCGGCCAAGGUCAAAACCAACCUGUAGAAGAAAACUUGUGUUCUAACUUGAUCUAACACGGAGAAACACCAUUACGUUCAUGCUCAGCUGAUCGUUGGGCAACACACGUGUCGUCGGUGAGACCAAUCUCUUAGAGAGGUUUUCUACAUUCCCUGAAUAUAUACUGUGGAAGACGCGCUAUAACCUUGCUGCAGCUUUCUUCGAAUACUAUUACUAUUCAGGAGACUGCAUCAGGUGCACUUUAUGCGCAGCCAUGCGUCGGCGUCCGGUGGGAGCCCUAUAUCCCGAGCGACUUCGUCGUCUCCACUUCCGUACCUGUGAGGUAUUCAACCACCAACGCAUAACUACCUUUCGGGA